UAUUUGGUUUAUGAAAUGGUCUUGUUGCUUCAUGAGCUUAUUCCACUCCAUCAUGUAAUCAGGGUUACAUGUAUAGCCUGUUAGCUUCUCCAUUUCUACAAUCUCUUUCACCCUAUUGAUUGAUUGCUCCCUCAGCUUUUGAACAAGGUUGUGAGCAGCUCCUUUCGCGGAUACCUUGAGGUGAUAAUACAUUUCCGAGUGGCGCGUCAAAACAGACAUCACCACAUCGUCUAUGUAAUCCCAAUACUUUUCGCUGAGUUUGAUAGGGAGAUACGAUAUCCUCUCGACUUUUCUCCGUAAGAUACGAAGGACUGCUUCACAGGGAAGGAAGUUCGGUAGUUCGAUCCCCCUAGCAUCUUCCAAACCCUUGAUCUCUUCUGUUAAAAAGUCUUUUGAUAGAUUACUUUCCUCGCAGUUGUGAAGCUCAUCGGAGAACCGGUUCAGCAUUUCAACAAACCGAGCAGUCCCGUGCUUCGUGUUGUCCUCGGGGUAUUCAUCAAAUUCCCCCCUCCAAAGAAGUUUCUUCAGGGAUUCUUUAGCUGCUUGAAUGAUCCUCAUCAUAGCUUGAGUGGCAUCAGCAAUAGAAGUUAAGGCCUUUGGCAUUUUCUCUAGCUCUGAAACAUUUGCAUCCAGCUUUGCACUAAUGUUUUUAACAAUCUCUGGCAAGCACUUUGCAAUUGCAUUAGCUUGAAUUCGGACAAGCUUUUGAGCCAAAACAUGAACACCCACAAUUGAUUUAUCAAUACGUGACAAAUGUGCAUUAGUUUCGAACAAUCUAGCCUCUUCCUUCCUUGCUUCUUCAUAGGAUUCAUCACCAAUCCGAUUCCGAACACAAACAUAACCAAGUCCUAUAUUCACAUCAUCUGCAGUAACCUUGUCAACAAGCCCUUCGGGGGCCCUAUCUACUUUAGUAACCACGGCAAGAGUUCUCUCACCAUUCUUGUCCACUUGUUGCGACAUCCUAAUGGAUUCACAAGUUGAAAAAUCAACCGUAGCCGACAGAACAUUAAGGAUAAUGCUUUCCUUUGGUGUUAUGUACUGCAUGAUGAUGUCCCGGAUCUGCUCAUAUAUGUUGUCGGGCUGACCAUGGACAGGAACUCUGGUAAUUCCAGGAAGAUCAACCAUGGUAAGAUCAGGAACCCCAUCUUUUCUCACCACCAAAGUCAAAGGGAUGUCAGAUAUGCUCUUACCCGGGCCUGCAACCUCAUCAGUUGCAAUGUUUAUGGCUGUUGCAAUCUGGGGUUCCUCCACUGGGACCGUUUUGCCAUUGUACUCCAAGUAGAGCUCUAGCCCUUGCCUUGCAUGGUUCUGCAACCUGAUUAUAAGAGGUACCCUGGUGCAAAUGCCCUGGCUACGAGGAAGGUUAACACCAGCCAAGGAUUCAAGAACACUAGACUUGCCUGAUGACUGGUCUCCAACCACAACAAUUGUGGGGAGCUGUAUGCCUUCUUUCAUCACCAUGAGCAGCCUGAGCCUGUCGAUGACAUCAAGCAAAGGUCGGAUUUUGUCAUUGUAUGAUGAAAUAAUUGGGGCUUGGGCUGCUGCUGCUCCCACCACCUUAGGUUCUUCCAUAGGAGGAGUUGCUGGUUGAGAAUCUUCAUAAUCAUUGAUGACACCAAUGCUCCCUGAAUCAGCUUCAUCAUAGCUACCCAUUUUUUAGAAGUCGAGACAGGAUGGGAAUUGGCCAAACUUGAUGUUUUAGAUGGUUUUUUUUGUUGGAAGUUGGAAAGCAAUAAACUUGAACUAAAGUGAAGACAAAUUCAAUGAAGCAUGUUUGGCUUUAUAAUGAAAAUUAAAAUAGGGUAAAGCACCGAAAUUAGGAACAAUAAAGCGAUAGCAUCCUAUACCAAACCCCAAGAAACAAGCAAACGAAGCUACAAUGGGAAUGGAAAACUUUAUGUUAUACUUUGAAUUGUAGAAAAUAAUGAUACAAGGACAGAAGAGAGGAAACAGAACAAAAUCAAAUCGUGACCAACCAAAAGAUGAGUGUGUCGAUGACAGAAAGUUCGAAACAUAAACAGCCCCACAAGUUCCUACAGGAACUAGACAGCAGAACUAUAUGAAACAAUGUAUUCACAUUGAAGUUUCGGAUAGAUGCCACGUACAAGCCAUGUUGCCAUUACCUCAUAUGCUCUUUGUGUCAAAUGAGCUCCAUCCCAACUAAGCUGUUCAUUAGGGUUUUCGCAUACCGGUACUUUUGGAUCUCCGCACCAACUUGAUAAGCCAGAAUUGUAGUCUUCCCCAAUUCCGCAGCAAGCUUUUUGCAAUGAUGUUGGAUCAAAACCAGAUGAGAUUUUUCGAAAACUCAGAACAUGACUAGAACCAUUCACAGUACGAUCACAUAAACUUAUGGAUGCAAAUAAAUCAGACUUACCAAGCAGAUCAGCUUUGCUCAAAAGCCACAGGAAUGCAUUGUAGUAGUCACCGUAGACAACGAUUACAUCUGGAUGUUUUUCUUUUAGCUGAUCAGCAAUAGCUUGUUGAAGAAGAUGAUUAUGAUAGAUUGAAAAAAAGGCUUGACUUCGUCCCUUUCGUAUACCUACUCUAAGACAAAAAAAAAUCAUUUUAUUAAUUAAGCUUUUUGUUUAUUAAUAAUUUGUUUUUUUUUCAAAUUCAUUAAAUACAAUUAAAAACAUUUGGAAGAAAAAUCUAAUGGUAGACUAGAUAUAGUUAAGAUAAUAUCUAACAGAGAGAUCGAUGUUCGAGUAUUUGUUGAAGUUCCUACGUAACUUUUAAUAAUUUUACAAACGGAUAGAGAUAAUAGUUUAUUCGAACAUUUAUUUUUAAUAGAGUGAAGAAACCCAAUUAUUUAAUUUAUGGGUAAACUACAUAAAGGGUAACACAAGUAUAAAAAGUUACAAAAUGUUCAUCUAACUAUUCAAUAUUGUUUUUUUAGAUCACCCGGCUAACGGUGGCUACUUUUAAAAUUUGAAUAAUAGAAAUUUAACCCUCAACACUUAUAUAUUGUAUCAAUUUAGUCUUGAUUCUAAAAAAAAAAUUUAACUCUCAACAUUUACACAUUGUAUAAUUUGGUCUCUCUUUUUGUAAUUUUGCUUUUCUUUGUGACAUUUAGUGUUAAUUUUAAAAGAAUAAGAAAAGAAAAAAAAUAUUAUCUUAGAUUUCUGGGUGCUCCUAUUUUUUAUAUAUUUUUAAUCAAAUUUAACUGAUAAAUUUAUUUUUAACUUUUUAAGUGAAAGGGUAAAGAAAAACAAAGUUGUACUAGAAAAAAGAAGAUCAAACUACCCAAUGUAUAAAUGUUGAUAGUUAAUUAUUUCUGGAAUCAAGAUUAAAUUGACAUAAUUUAUAAAUAUUGAGGGUUAAAGUUGAUAUUAUGCGAAUAUUAAAAGUUGCCACCGAUGAUCAGUAACCAAAAAAGACAAAACUGAAUAACUUAGUGAUCAUUUUGUAACUCUUCAUAAAUUUUAGUACAAAAUUAAGUGAAUGUUAACGUGUUUGAGGCAAAUCUCGAUGAACAUGUCAUGCAACGCAUAGCUAAAGGGGUAGAUAAGAGCUUUAGACCUCUUUUAGUUAAAUGGUAUCAUUAUGAUUAUAGUGCCUCUUAAAUGUCAAUUGUUUAAUUUAGUUCCUUUCUAGCUUUUAUUUAAAUGGAACAAUUGUAAUUUAGACCCUUUUCAAAUGUUUAAAUUUAAUUUCAGUUAUUUUAACGUAAAAUAUUUUAGCUUUGUCCCCUAUUUUUUUAAUUUUAUCUUGGCUCUUCAUCACAUAAUUCAUGACUGACAUAUAUGCCAUAGGUCAUAAGAUUGAGUCAAACUAUGCAAAAACUCUUUAGUUUCACCUGUUUGAGCACUUCAAGGCGUUCUCACUCUCUAAACCCACCAAGGAUCUAGACAAAGUCGGGAGACAAAACUCCGACUGGGGACAAUACUGGACUUGCUUAUAUCUGCUUUAUAGUUGUAUUUGUAGCAUACAAUGUAUAUUUUGUCAAAUUUGAAUACUUCUUGUUUGCUUGUCUAUUAUUCUUUUGAUAGAAGAUACAACUUUCUUUAUUUGUAUGUCCAUAUAAUUUGUUACAUUCGAUCUGUGAACCAUAUUUGACCUUCAUAUUGUCAACCAUGCCACUUGUUCAAUGGAAAAUUACCUUUGUUGAUUUGUUCUUGGUUGACAUUAAGUUCAAGGUUCGAAUCAGGAAAACCAAUCUCUCUCCCCUUAUUAUAUUUAUGUAUAUACAUGUAUUUGACCUUCAUGUUUGUUGGUGAGAAAAUGGUACAGAGUAAAUUGAAUUUUGCUUUUUGUUUGGUGUGUUUCCUAGGGAAAGCUUUAUGGAAGCCAACAAGAAUGGAAAUUUGGUUGAUGUUGAUCGGAAGGCGUUCGAAACUUGGAAAAAAUGAGCGAGGAGGUAUAGGUCCCUUGCUCCUCCCACUUUGUCAUAACUUUUCAUUGGAAGUUUUCUGUUGUAAUUUUGUAUUGAGUAUCGUCCCGAGUAUUUUCUUUAAUAGGAGAGGAAACCAUAUGUUACUCAGCCUACAUGAAGGAUAUGACUGAAGCGGAUAAAAAUAUUGUAAAGGUAACUGGGAUUCAGAGUUUAUGGAUGCUAAUUUCGUAUAAUUUAAACUUUCUAGAGCGACCUAAAUAUGUUGUUGGUGUAAUUGGUGAAAUUGUUUGUUGUGCUUUCAUAGCAAUGCUGAUACAUUCUGAAUAUUUGAUCAUGGAACUUGUUCCGUAGAUUCUUAAUUCAGAACUAUGAAUAGGGGCAUACUAAGGCAUACUAAAGAUGCAUGAUUUUGAACUCAUGAUCCUCUCAUCUUUACAUAAUCUAUGUUGCCACUCGGUUUUCUCCCUAUCGUUGUCAAUUAUUGUCAUCACAAUUGCUUUUCAAUGAUUUUUUCAGUUAGAAUUAGUAUCUUUUCCUUGUUUUGUCCACAAAAGCAAGAAUGAUAUAUGAUAGCUGUGAUUUAUCUGACAAUUAGCUUCUCUAAAUCUUUCACCCUAAUCAAUUGUCAAAAAUUUGCUGUUCUAGUGCUUAUUGGCUUCUCGUUUUUAACUUGAAAGUUAACUUAUCUAUUGUUCAAACAUCAAAAUGGAACAAAGUUUUGCAUCAUAUUCGAAGUUAUUAAUGAGUUAUUUUCUUUAGGUGGAUGAUGAGGCUGAUUCAGCAAUGGUUGGGAAAUUUGAUGAGGUUUGUAUAUAUGUUUGGAGCACAAAAAACAUAGCAAAUAUAGAUAAAUUUACGUAUUGUAUAUCUACUUGUGCUUAAACUAAGUCAUUCCCCUGCCAGUUGAGGCUCUGAAACCUUUGGGCACUGAAGUUCGAGUUUCACUAUGUAAAUCAUGUGUUGGUUCUCCCCCAGAUUUAUUUUGUUUACUUAGUUAGAGUUGAGUUAGCUUCAGUGAAUGUAACGAUUGAUUAUGUUAGUUCCCCCCUCUUUUGCCACCUCUUCUUCGUUGAAUUUACAGUUCUAUGAAGAUUAUGGGUACUAUGAAACAUCUGAUGAUGAUGGUGAACCAUACCACUCUGGAGGAUUCAAGAGCUUAAACACAACUGAACAGUAAUCGAAGUCUUCCCCACAUUUCAGUUCAAUUACCUAACUUAACCGCAAUCAUAUAUUGUGCACAAGACCGAUAAGUUAUGGCUUUCAUGAAGCAGGGAAACUGCUAUCGAGGGCGGAACUUGAAGAUGUUCUGGUUUUUGUUUCAUGUCAAUGGACCUUAUCCAACUGGCAAUGGUGGAAAAAAAAAGUUUGCCAUUUUGAUUCAUUUGUUAAGGCAAAUCAUUUGGCUAUUGUAAAGUAGUUAUAGGGGUUUUAGCCUUCGAAGCAGAUUGGUAUUUGUUUUGCUAUUUGGCAGUGGCAGUGGCAAUGGCAAUGGGGGUUUCACAGGUGAGUGGCAAGGGCUAUAGAGGAAGCAUCAUUUUGUCUAUAUUUUUUUAGUUUUAUGGAAUUUGGUUGAUGGAAUAGGUGAUAUGUUGGGUUGGAUAAAAUAAUCUAUAUUUUAUUGAAGUUAUGUUUGUUUUUAUCUGUUAGAAAAUUGAAGAAUGAUAUUAGAAAAUAUUUAGUCAAAUAAUUUGUAUUAAUAAUAGUUAAUUAUGCCUUUGUGGCUAAGCUCAUGGAAAUCAUUUAAAAAUAAAAUCUAAUAAAUAAUUAAACAUAUGAUUUAAAAUUAAUAAUAAUAACAAAGUAAUAUGUACGAAAUUUAAAUAGGUAAAUACAUUUGAUUAAGCUUUAUGUUCUGUUCUAAAUUUGGUUUCUUAAUACUUCUUCUGAAUAAGUUGGUGUCGAGUUGAUUCAUGAUACCAAUUUAGUCACAUGGUUAAAUAACUAUAUAGAUACAAAAGUUAAAUAUUUAAGAUGAUUGAUGCCUUCUGAACAUAACACCAUUUAAAUUUAUAUAAAUGUAUGAAAAUACGAAAAAUACUCAAUAACAAUAUUUAUUAAUAAUUUAAAUUUUGAUUUUUUUUAGUUUUCUUUUAUUCAAUUGGUGUCAAGUUAAAUCGUGACGCUGAUUCAGUUACAAUAUAUAGAAUAUGACGUGAGUGACAGACCAAUUUUAUUUAAAAUUUUAAUAUAAAAUAACAAUAAAGGUUUGAUUGAAACGGAAAAAUUAAAGAUUUAAGUUGCUUGAUGUCUUAUGUAAAGGUUUAAAUCGCAUCAUUUGCUUAUUUCCUUAAGUUUAAGUUGUUCCUUAUAACUUUUAUAAAAAUGUGUGAAAAUACAAAAACACCCUAUGAUAAUGUUUAUUAAUUGUUUAAAAUUUGAGUUUUUAGUACUUCUCUAAUUAAAUUAGUGUCGAGUUGAUUCGUAACAUCAACUCAAUCACACUUAAAUUAAAGUUUCCAUACAUAGAACACCAGGUGGGUGAGAGUGAUAGACGAGAUUUAUGAAAAAAAUUCAUGUAAAAUAACAAUGAAGUUUCGGUUAAAAUAAUAAAUUUAAUUUGUAAUAUUUAUAAUGAUAAAUUUACACAGAAUACUUGCCAUUUGCAUAUUUUUUAUAAGUUUAUUUUAUUUUUUAAAAUAAAGUUUAUAUAAAGGUAUGAAAUGCAAAACUACCUUAUAAUAAUAUUUAUUAAUCGUUAAAAUUUUGAUUUUUUUAAUACUUUGUCUAAUCGAGUUGGUGUCGAGUUAGUCAAUGAUAUAAUUUAGACAUAUAAUUAGACAACAGUGUAAAAGUGUAGAUACAUAGAUCACAAUGCGCGUGAUAAGCAAAUUUUAUGUAAAAAAAAACUCAUAUAAAUAUUAUAUUAAUAGAUGAGAACAUCUGUAUUUAAUAAUUAGACAACAGUGUAAAAAUGUAGACACAUAGAUUACAAUGGGCGUGAUAAGCAAAUUUUAUGUAAAAAAACUCAUAUAAAUAUUAUAUUAAUAGAUGAGAACAUCAGUAUUUAAAAAAAAAAAUCCAGAAAGCUGAUUGCAUACCAAGGCUUGGAACAUGGCAAUCAUGGUACACAAAAAAGCCAAAAAAAAUUUAGCAAUAAGAUUUCAUAAAGAUAUAAAUUGUUUACAACAGUAAAUUAACACAAGAAAAUAAAAAUAAAACAAAGUAGAAAACUAACCCCCACCCCCAAUUUGCCGUCCACAGUAGUUGUGACCUUAUUAUAUAAUCUUCAAUCCUUAAUAAUCUAUACUAUAUAUAUAGAACACAGACACUUAAAACAUGCAAUAAGCAAACCAUGAUAAUGACCCAAAUUUUAUGUGAAAAUAUUAAACCAAGCAAGCAUCAUAAGCAACAAUCCCAUCCAUGAUCUUGGCCACACUAUCUUUGGACUCCUUUAACACCUUGAUGCUGUUUUUAAGCUUCUCACGCUUUGCAACAAUGGCAGGAGAUUCCACCAGCAUCAUCUUUAUCCCAUGUCCAUCUGGUCCCAUCAGCUCCUUCACAAUCUCAUCAAUGUCAUUGUGUACAAGAUUAUGAACAUGGUAUCGUAAAUGCAAUGCCAUGGAAUCAACCAAUCUCACCUUAAAUACCUUCCAAUAAGCAACCAUUCUCAUCUUCAGGUCGAAAGCUUGUUGCAGGAUCGAAACAUCCGAGUGUUUUCUGAGAUGUUCGAUUUGGAUUUCCCCUAAACCUUCGAGAUCCACACUGCAAGGCAGCGGCCGCAUGUUUGUUCCAGAUAUUUGGUUCAUGAAAUGGUCUUGUUGCUUCAUGAGCUUAUUCCACUCCAUCAUGUAAUCAGGGUUACAUGUGUAGCCUGUUAGCUUCUCCAUUUCUACAAUCUCUUUCACCCUAUUGAUUGAUUGCUCCCUCAGCUUUUGAACAAGGUUGUGAGCAGCUCCUUUUGCGGAUACCUUGAGGUGAUAAUACAUUUCCGAGUGGCGCGUCAAAACAGACAUCACCACAUCGUCUAUGUAAUCCCAAUACUUUUCGCUGAGUUUGAUAGGGAGAUACGAUAUCCUCUCGACUUUUCUCC
rnacentral:lncRNA from 1 species